rnacentral:tRNA from 1 species
GCACUGGUGGCUGAGUGGUAGAACUCUCACCUUCCAUGUGGGAGACCCAGCUUCGAUUCCCAGCCAAUGCA